rnacentral:sRNA from 1 species
CCUUAGCCCUGAUGGGAACGGCAUCCUUUUUCUUGGCUGGGGGAAACCUCAUAGGUUUUGAAAACCUAUGAGGUUUUUAGCUUUGGCAGAAAAAGAUACAGUGGACAGCAGGUUCCCGG